UUUGCAGGCUGGAGAACCAUCAGAGGCUUAUAAGAAUUUUCAGUUGAAGACUUAUGGGAUCAAAGCACAAGGACACGCGACACUGAGAAGGAAAAAGCCAAAAAAAUAACGCUCUUCCAGUUUGACCCUAUUAUUUUAUCUUUCAUCUUAUCACAUGCACACUUACUAUCUCGUGAAAAUCUAUUUUCAAAAUUUUAAAUUUCUAUGUUUAUGUAGUUGCCCAUGCAAAUGGUAAAUUUAAAAUGCUUUUGCAGGUUGGUGUAAUUUCUUAGGCUUGUUAGAAUUUUCAGUUGCAGACUUAUGGGAUCAAAAAACAGUAGACAUGCGGCACUGGAGAGGAAAAAACAAAAAGUACUAUGGUAUCCCAGUUUGCCCCUAUUAUUUCGUUUUUUCAUCUUAUAACACGGGCAUUUACAAUCUUGUGGAAAUGUGAAUAAAUGUUUUACCAAUAUAAUAUUGUAGAUGCCUUAGUGAGUGCGAAGAAUUGUCUCCGGGUAGAAUCUCACAUGCAGGAUCGUCAAUGUUGGAAGGUCUGUGAUCUCUCUUAUUUGUGUCUUUAAUCACUGUUUACCGCACUACUUAGAGGUUUUUCUUUAAUGUUGUAAGUAGAUGACGCUAUCAUUAAGACCAUUGCGACAACUCCAGAUCAAGAAUUAAAGGGAUCUAGGGAUUUGAUGCUUCGAGUUCGCCGGAGAGAUUCAUAUCAGUUUUGUAAUGAAUAUGCUGUUCAGAGGAAAAAUUGGACAAGUACAAGGAAGUCGCUGCACAAGAUUGACUGUGUAAGUACCCCAUGUACCCUAUGCAUGUUCUUGGAAAAAAAUGUCUUUUUGGGCAUCUUCGUGUGACAUUAGCUGGAAAGCAAAAAACUUAUGUUCAGACAUUAGCUUAUAAGGUGACAUUAGCUGGAUUUUUUUCUUUCUGUGUGUGUGCCCAUGUGCGUGAAUGUGUUUGUCUAUAUAUUCUAGUGGAGCUGUUCAGGUGACAUUAGCUGGAUUUUUCUGAUAAGCUCCUCUUUCUGUGUGUGCCCACUCUUUCUAUGUGUGUGUCCAUGUGCGUGGUUGUGUGUGUCUAUAUAUUCUGAUGGACCUGCUGUGAUGAUUGUUGAUAAUUUGUGGAUCUGAUAAUUUGGGCAUUUAGAAACCCUCCCUUAUCAUGAUGUGGCGAACCCGGAUGGGCUGCGAUUUUGGGGUAAUUUAUAUUUCCUCAAUCGCAUGCAACCGGUGAUUCUGCAACCAUGACGGGGUGGAAUGUUUCUUUGCCAACUUGAACGAUUGAGCAACCCUCUCCUUAUGUUAUGCGUUUUUGCUUCUCGUUUAUGUGAGGUUUUUUGAAAGAGAUCGACAUCAAUCCGAUUAAUCUCUUGAAACUUGAAUUGUCAGUUGAAAAAUAAUUUCUUGGAAUAUAAUUUCUUGCGACGUGUUUAUUAGAGAUUGGAUAUACCUCUUGAAGUCGAAUUUCUCUCCUCAUUAUUGGAUUUCUUAUUGACGUUAUUAUCCGCGUAUCUCAUUUUCUUGAGUUGCCUUGUUUGCUCGAUUUUUGGAUUGUAAGGAAGUGCCUCAUUCUUAUUGACGCUAUCAGAUUUCUUGAGAGCUUAUGGAUUCAGAUCACCAACUAUAUACUGUUGGAAACUCGGAUUUUCAGGAGCUCGGUCUUCUUUAUGUGAUUCGUAGAAGAUGGAUUUCUCAAAAGAACUCGUGUUUAUCUAAUGAGCUCGAUAUUUAUUGGAUUUCUUGGCCUGGUAUUUUUCGGACUUCUUGGACUUGUUGUAGUUGAUCAUAUUUUGGACUUCUUAUUGACGUUAUUAUCCGUAAUCUCAUUUUCUUGAGUUGCCUUGUUUGCUCGAUUUUUGGAUCGUAAGGAACUGUUCUCAAUCUUAUUGACCUUAUUGGAUUUCUCGAGAGCUUAUGGAUUCAGAACACCAACUAUCUAUUCUCGUAAUUAGCUCGGAUUUAUAGGAGCUCGGUCUUCUUUAUGUGAUUCGUAGAAGAGGGAUUUCUCAAAAGAGCUCAUGUUUAUUGAAUGAGCUCGAUAUUUAUUGGAUUUCCUCGGGCCUCGUAUUUAUCGAACUUCUUGGACUUGUUGCAGUUGAUCAUAUUUUGGAUUUCUUAUUGACGUUAUUAUCGGUAAUCUCAUUUUCUUGAGUUGCCUUGUUUGCUCGAUUUUUUGAUCGUAAGGAACUGUUCUCAUUCUUAUUGACCCUAUUGGAUUUCUCGAGAGCUUGUGGAUUCAGAACACCAACUAUCUAUUCUCGUAAGCUCGGAUUUAUAGGAGCUCGGUCUUCUUUAUGUGAUUUGUAGAAGAUGGAUUUCUCAAAAGAACUUAUGUUUAUCGAAUGAGCUCGAUAUUUAUUGGAUUUCUUGGGCCUGGUAUUUAUCAGACUUCUUGGACUUGUUGUAGUUGAUCAUAUUUUAUUGAACUUCUCUCCAGCUUCCUUGAGCAUAAGUUGGCGAUUAUGGGAGUUAACGUAAAUCACGCAAAAGAUUCAAUGCUUGUGUAUCUCUGGUUUAGAUGCCUGUGGCCUAAGUUUCAAUAUGAAUUGCAGGGUCCUUCAUUAAUUGGUAAAGUUCUUUUCUUAACGGUAUGAACCAUCUGCCCCAUCAUAGGGUUCUGACCUAUGUUAGAGUUUUUUUACUACGCUUUCAGGAUUUUAAAUACAAUGAAACUAUUUCUGCAUGACUCUCCGGUUGAUGGAAAGCAUGAGCGUUAUGGAGAAUGAGAUAUGCUAUCGUGCCAGUGAAAUCUAAGUAAUACUCUUUAUAUUUUGUACUUUUUACUCCUGAUUUUUUUCUGAAAUAUGAGGUGCUCACAGUGAUAUUUUGGCAUAUUGUAGUUUUGCAAUGAACGUUAUGUUCCAGAGGACAAAUUGGAGACUUCCAAGAUAUUAUGUGUUCUCAGGUGAAUCUAUGCAUUUUCUUAGAAAAUAAUUUGUGUUUUGAAUAAAGGUUCUGCAUUUUACUUUUUUUAUGGAGAUGUUGGUUAUAUAGGAAUAUGGAGUGGAUUUCUUAUUCCAGCAUCAAGUGUUUCGAGCUAUGAAUCCUCUGUCACAAUAUAAGUAUUACGGUUCUGACCCUUCUAAAGCUUUCCUUUUCCAAUUUUACUUUCACUUUUGCAACUUCUGACAACACUUUCUUAUUUAUGAUUUUGAUAGGUAGCAGAAGUUCUCUAUUUGUGAUGAUCGCAUCAUGCACUUGCUUCCAACAUCUUACUAAGACAUGAUUCGGCGAGUGUACUCCAAAAAGGCUGAACUUGCCUCUUAAGCAACUAUUUGCAAAUUUUUAAAUUUAUAUGGCUAUGUAGUUGCACAUACAAAUGCUGAAUUUAAAAUGCUUUUGCAGGUUGGAUUAAUUUCUUAGGCUUUUUAGAAUUUUCAGUUGCAGACUAAUGGGAUCGGAGGACCAUUACAUGAUAAUUUCUUCGUCAGAAUUAUCAUCAGAACAUUGACCACCUUUAACAGCAACCAACGUUACUUACGUCUCAAGGAAAAUGAUAUAUAUCAUUACACACUACGACAAAAGUUUACGAGACCCCUGACAGCAGACCUAGGAGACCUCCAACCGAUCGACACCAUGUCCGUUGUUUUCUAGAAAACGAGGUUUUGAUCGUCUUAUUCAUUUGAAUUGUUCAGCCAUUGAGGUUAAUAAGAUUUCCUUUACAUUUGUCUGUUUUUUCUAAAACUGUGGUAAAUAAUUCUGAAAUAAAAUUAAUUUGCAGAAUCAAGACAUCAAUAAUGAUCAUAUGACUUAUUGGCUGUCUAAUACUUCUACGUUAUUGUUCUUGCUCGAAAAAAGUCUGAAAUCUUCUGGGACAGCUGGUGCCACCCCAGUUCGUAAGGCACAACCGCAACCUCUCUAUUCGGGUGGUUGACAUUAAUAUUCAAAUUUUUUUGUUUUUUUUUUCGAUUUACAAAGUAGAUAAAUAUGAAAUAAUUUGUUUUACAAGGAUUUAGGUCACCUUCUUCGACAAGCCUAGCCAGCUGCAGGAGCUACUGAUAAGGUGCGAUAAGUCCAAGCGAAAUAUCCAGCUCUGCUUUUCAUGCAGCAGCUUAAUGCUUAUGUUGAGAAAUUAUGUGUAACUAUUCGAGAUAACUUGAAGGAUUUGGGAGCACUUCUUGCAUUACGUAUUCAGGUAUGCUGAUUGAUAAAAUAUUUAUGUUUUAUUAAAUAUUAUGUGAGCAAUGCCUUCAUGAUUUAUUAUACUUUAAUGAUUUCAGACUCCAAGAACCUCUAAAGGUAGUGUGUUGAGGUCUGGUCGAUCUUUCGGCAAACAUUCUCAUACAAAUCAUUGAUUGCCUCAAAUCAUUAGUUUAUCAGGUGACGUUAGCUGGAUUUUUUUCUUCUGAUAAGCUCUCUUUCUGUGUGUGUGCCCAUGUGCGUGAAUGUGUGUAUCUAUAUAUUCUAGUGGAGCUGUUCAGGUGACAUUAGCUGGAUUUUUUCUGAUAAGCUCUCUUUCUGUGCGUGUGCCCAUCUCUUUCUAUGUGUGUGCCCAUGUGCGUGAUUGUGUGUUUCUAUAUAUUCUGAUGGAGCUGCUUUGAUGAUUGUUGAUAAUUUGUGGAGCUGAUAAUUUGGGCAUUUAGAAACCCUCUCGUAUCUUGAUGUGGCGAACCCGGAUGGCUGCGAUUUUGGGGUAAUUUAUAUUUCCCCAAUCGCAUGCAACCGGUGAUUCUGCAACCAUGACGGGGUGGAAUGUUUCUUUGCCAACUUGAACGAUUGGGCAACAGAUCUGAGCCUCGUUUCCAUUAAUUCACUGCAUACUCGAAUUCCCAAUACUUGUGAUGAUUGUACUGUAUGUUCCCAAUACUUGUUUUUCCUUAAUAUAAUUUUAUGUUAAGAGUAUUUUUAAACUUUAUCAGAGUUGGCAACCCCCUUGAUUCUUGCCAUUGUUAUUUAUAAAUCACAAGUUCUUUUUACAAAUCAAUCCAUCUCUCUUGUUUUUUGUUGUUCCAAGAACUCGUUGGUUGUUGGCCACCUACCUAUACCUCUACUACUAUGGGUCGAGAUAAAAGCGCAAGGACUCGGUGUGAUCUGGAAACACUUCAGAUAAGUGUCUGGCAGCCUUGUUAGAUUCUUCAAGGAUUUUUGCAGAGAGCAGAAGUUCUUCUUUGUUUCUGAUGAUCGCAUCAUCCACUUGCUUCCAACAUCUUACUAAGACGUCAUUGUUUGAGUUUACGCGAGAAAGGAUGGAGUAAUUUCCGAGGCUUUUAUGAAUAUUCAGUUGAAGACUUAUGGGACAAGUUCAUGCGACAGUGAAGAGCUUCAGGUCAAGGAAGACAAAGACACGACGCUGAAAGAAAUAGAAUUUCAAAAAUGACAGCUGAGCAAAAAUCACUUAAUACAGACCUUAGUGAGCUCUCUUGAAACGAAAUUCCGCGAAAUAGAGAAGACAUAUGAAGCGAUGGACAAACUUAGCCAGGGGAGUUUGAAACAACAAGCAGUGUAGAAGAAAAAAAUCGACAUGGAAUCUGAGAACAAAAUUCUUCGGCAGCAAACCUUGUUAACUGCCUCUAAGUUAGAAUCAGAACAUCGAUUAGCAACAAAGAUAUCUCGGAAUGGUCACCAUGCAAGGGGAGUGAGUACAAUCAACGAUAUAUACCAUUACAUACUCGACAAAAGUUUACGAGGCCCUGAUAGCAAACCUAGGAGGCCCCCCAACUGAUCGUCACCGUGUCUGUGCUUCUAAAAAAUGAGAAGUUUUUCCAUAUUCCUUGUUCGAAAUUCUUGGUUUACUAGACGUAGUAAUUUCGAAUCUUACUGCAGGAGGAUGUUGAAGCUUUCUUGGAAUAUGUAAUAAAAUAUACGGGCGUCAGCCAAGUAAGCCCGUUUAAGAUUUCACAAUAUAUAAAAAUGUCUUUUGCACUGGAAAUAUUUUGAAUCUGAACGGACAAGUGCAUUUGGUCGUCUUAUUCAGAUGAUUCAUUCAGCCAUUGAGGUAAUAUUUCCUCAAUAUUGGUCUGUGUCUGGAACACGCAAAAACCACCUACUGCUUAUGCUGAGAAAAUCUAUGGCACUAUUUCAGGGGUGUUGUACUUUCAGCAAUGGGGAGUAUGUCAAAUUUGGGUUGACUGAGCUAGGACAGUGGUUCUGUCAAGCAAAAGAAAAGUAAUCAGGCUCAGCUUGGUAUGAACUCAAACACACAAGACAAGCCAAUGGCUUCUUAAUUCUUAGUGUACAGCUGCUCUACAGAAUAUGUAUACUGGGACGAUAACUAUAAUACUCAAAGUGUGUCCACUGAAUUAAGUAAAUGAUGGUCUUUGUUUCUCCUAGAAACCCAUUACUUCAUUCACAUUUUCAGUAUAAAAACAUAUGUUGCCAGAAUUUAAUAUUUCCAACUUUUAUAACAGGUCAUAUCCGACAUGAGGGUGCUAAUGACGGAGGACUCAAAAAAUGUCAGCAACUCGUUUCUUUUGGAUGACAAUUCCAGGUAACGAGCUAUUUAUUUUGCUAUGUCUACCUUUUAAAGUUCCGAAAAAAAUCUUGUUCAUAACACCUCCCAAAUAAUAAUAAAUUAAUUAAUUGACAAGAAAAGCAGAUCCUAGGUAGGACAUUAUCGUUGUUAUCCACAUCUUCCUUCACUUGACAGCAAUCUCAUGAGUCUCUUUUCACAUCUGAAACAACUUCAUUUUAAA